CCGAGAUGAUGUCCUCUUUUAUCGAUCUUGAGUUGCCUAUUGAGGGCUCAGAGGAAGAAAUGAUGGAAGCUCGUCCAGUCUAUGUUGCAGCUGUUGAUUUGUCGUCUUCAGAAGAAUUUUUGGAGCUUACUAAAAGUGCGCUGCAAGCAGCUUUAGAAGCUCUUGCACCUGGUGCUUUGUUUGGGCUUGCAACCUUCAGCCACAAAAUAGGGUUGUAUGAUGUUCAAGGGCC
rnacentral:misc_RNA from 1 species